UUUAGGCUAGCAGCAUGAUAAGACAGAGCUUAUUAGAAGCAUUCGCGGGAGCUUCAGAUUUUGAAAUCGCCCGACAAAAGCCUAAUACCUUCCGAAGACUUCUACAUACAUGCUUUACUUGCCUGGGCCGUCAUCGAUAAGACAGAGCUUAUUAGAAGCAUUGAUUUUAAAAUUACAACACAAAAGCCAAAUUUGUUCCCACGACUUCUACGUACAUUUUUGGCUGCAAUGGCUGUCAUUCAUCUCAAAGUUUUAAAUAAUCAAAAACUGGAGAUUUUGAAGGAAUGGAGAACAGACGUUUUGGUAGUGGGAUGUUUUAUAAAGGACUGUGAUUUAAAAAUACAAACACAUCCGGAUUAUUGAUAUGUAUCCAGCCAAAUGAAGAGAAUUCCCAGCCCGGAUCCUCAAGACUGUGCCCUCCGCUCCAUUUGGGCCAAAUAUGUUCAUACAAGAUAUUAAGUAAAUAAUAUUUGA